AUGCCUAUGUCAGAUCUUUCCAUAGUAGACACUCAAGAGAGUAUUCAAUCAAAAUAAGUGAUUGAUCCUGAUAAUGGGAUCUUACCUUGGUAUUUAUAGGCUGUCGUGGAGAGUCCUGCUAGGUGUGGGGUCCUUAAGGACAAGGGCUCUCUGAUAUCAGAAAUAUUCCAGAUCCUAGGGCAUAUUCUAGGAAUAUUUCCCUCUUAUCUCGGAGGUGCAAGUCGUGAGAGGGGUGGAUGCCUCUAAUGACGUUCAGUGGAUAGAGUCCUACCCUUGUGAUCAGGGUUACGUUCCUUGAAUGUAGGAGUGGAUGUGUGUACGUUUUUGGGCAUCUAGCUUGGUGUGCCCGGGCAGAGGUGACAAUACCGAGGUGGCAGCUCGGCAUAAUGAGGGACCGAGGUGGUAGCUCGGCAUGACGAGGGACCCAUGUGGUAACUCGGCAUGACGAGGGACUGAGGUGGCUGCCCGGCAUGGAUUGGGACCUAAGUGGCUGCUCGGCAUGAUUGGGAUCAAGUUGGCAGCUCGGCAUGAUAUGGGAUCGAGGUGGCUGUUCGGCCUGGAUAGAGACCGAGGCGGCAGGUCGGCCUACAUAGCUUCAGAUGUGUUGAGGUGAGGACAUAUUUGACCUCAUCACCAACCAAAACUGAUAUAUCCUUAUUGAUUCAUGUUUGAUUUCACUCAUUCUCCCAUAUAAACCAAUGAAAUCGAACCAAAAUCGGUCCAAAAUUGACACCGCUUAGAGAAGCAAUGUGUCAUCGAUCAUGUGCGACUAAUGUCUUUUAGUACAACUCGCUAUAUUUCAUUUUGGUGGAUGAAAUUUUUUCAAUCAUAUGCAUGCCUCUUUAGGCGGGAAUGGAUUUUGUAAAUGCCUCUAUAGGUGGGAACGGAGAAAUUUCCAAUCCCUCGAUAGAGUAUAGACGAAGAAAAAAAUGGGAGAGAAUAGAAAGAGUGGGGGGAGAGUGAGUGCAUAGGAGCAGGGAAAGAGAGGGGGCCUGGGAGGCAGAAAAGGUUUACAGAAACAGGGAGAGUGAGUGGGAGCAGAGAAGGAGCGAGGCAAAGAGACGAAGGGUGAAACUAGUCAAUGGGAGACUAUAACAUUUAGCUCUCAAAAUGCAUCAAAUAAUGAUUGGAUUGCAGUUUUUUCUCCAGCAAGUACUGUAAAGUAAGAAAUACAUGAUACAUCUUCAGUAUUGAAUCUAGCUUUCCUUAAUUAGAAAUGUUGAUACA